rnacentral:lncRNA from 1 species
UAUAAUAUCCAAUUUUUUAUAAUGAAAUUUUGGCAUUGUCUCUGCCCAUGGACAUAGGUCAAUAGAUUGAACUACAUAGACUUUGUAUGCUACUAUUCUUCUCUUAUCUCUCUUCUCUUCUCUCUUUUUUUUCUCUCUUCUUAUUUUCUUCUUGUUUUGUUAUUCUCUGUACUUGUCGCAAUGUGGGGAAAGGAAACCAAACAAUUUUUUGGCU